GAUGAACGCUGGCGGCGUGCCUAAUACAUGCAAGUCGAGCGAACGGACGAGAAGCUUGCUCCUCUGAUGUUAGCGGCGGACGGGUGAGUAACACGUGGAUAACCUACCUAUAAGACUGGGAUAACUUCGGGAAACCGGAGCUAAUACCGGAUAAUAUUUUGUACCGCAUGGUUCAAAAGUGAAAGACGGUCUUGCUGUUACUUAUAGAUGGAUCCGCGCUGCAUUAGCUAGUUGGUAAGGUAACGGCUUACCAAGGCAACGAUGCAUAGCCGACCUGAGAGGGUGAUCGGCCACACUGGAACUGAGACACGGUCCAGACUCCUACGGGAGGCAGCAGUAGGGAAUCUUGCGCAAUGGGCGAAAGCCUGACGGAGCAACGCCGCGUGAGUGAUGAAGGUCUUCGGAUCGUAAAGCUCUUUUGUUAGGGAAGAAAAUAUGUGUAAGUAACUGUGCACAUCUUGACGGUACCUAAUCAGAAAGCCACGGCUAACUACGUG
rnacentral:rRNA from 1 species